rnacentral:rRNA from 1 species
UACGGAAGGCAGCAGUGGGGAAUAUUGCACAAUGGGCGCAAGCCUGAUGCAGCCAUGCCGCGUGUAUGAAGAAGGCCUUCGGGUUGUAAAGUACUUUCAGUCGUGAGGAAGGUGUUAAGGUUAAUAACCUUAGCAAUUGACGUUAGCGACAGAAGAAGCACCGGCUAACUCCGUGCCAGCAGCCGCGGUAAUACGGAGGGUGCGAGCGUUAAUCGGAAUUACUGGGCUAAAGGGCACGCAGGCGGUUAAUUAAGUUGGAUGUGAAAUCCCCGGGCUUAACCUGGGAAUGGCAUUCAAGACUGGUUAGCUAGAGUCUUGUAGAGGGGGUAGAAUUCCGAUGUGUAGCGGUGAAAUGCGUAGAGAUGUGGAGGAAUACCGGUGGCGAAGGCGGCCCCUGGGACAAAGACUGACGCUCAUGUGCGAAAGCGUGGGGAGCGAAACAGGGAUUAGAUACC